rnacentral:rRNA from 1 species
CGGCCUUGACAUCCUCCUGGAUGCAGGGCAAUGCCUGCAGCCCUUCGGGGCAGGAGAGACAGGUGGUGCAUGGUUGUCGUCAGCUCGUGUCGUGAGAUGUUGGGUCAAGUCCCGCAACGAGCGCAACCCCUAUGGCCAGUAGCCAGCAGGCAAAGCUGGGCACUCUGGCGAGACUGCCGGGGACAACCCGGAGGAAGGCGGGGACGACGUCAAAUCAUCAUGCCCCUUAUGGCCGGGGCUACACACGUGCUACAAUGGCGCAGACAGAGGGAAGCGAGGGGGCGACCCGGAGCAGAUCCCAGAAAGAGCGCCCCAGUUCGGAUUGCAGGCUGCAACCCGCCUGCAUGAAGCCGGAAUCGCUAGUAAUCGCGGAUCAGAAUGCCGCGGUGAAUACGUUCCCGGGUC